rnacentral:lncRNA from 1 species
AAAGACUUUUUUUUUUUUUGAAAGAUAGAUAACACGCUACCCGCUUCAUUUAAUUUAUUUAGAAGUAAACUUAGCUGGAAAUAUGAAUCAACUAGUAUUCGAACUUGAGAUCUCGGAUACCAACCACCAAGCCCUUUGCCACUUGCGCUAGGAAUUGUCAGUGUAACGAUGAAAAACUUACAAGUACCAAAUUCUUAGUGUAUAUAGUUUGGAGUUGAGCUCUUGUGCUUUUAAAAGCACAGGAGCUUAAAAGCA